AGGGAAAGUACAGAAGCAGCUUCUUAAUUUGGAUCCAGCAAACAAAAGGAAACAUCAAAUCUGACCUCGCUGCUGGAGUGUUAAUGGCUUUCUCCCAUCGCGCCCCCUGCCACUUAGCAUCUUUUGUGCCCCACCCUGGGAAGCUUCCCGGCAGAAGUGUGCAUUAGCAGAACUCUACAGUUACAAAAUGCUGCUUACUACAGACAAGGGAAAAAAAACCUUCAGUGAUUAAAUGUUCUUUGGACAAACACAUCCAUAGCUAUAAAAGUACCAUUUUUAUUUCAGGCAAGCCUCUCAGUGAUGUCCCUGCUGUGGCCACCAGCACAAAGGAGUGUUUUACCUAGAACGUCAGUGAAACCCUUCAAAGAAGAUCCAGGGUGGCCUAGAACAAAAGAGGAAGAUAUUUGCUGACAAGGCUUAAAAAUAGAAGGAUGACUGUUUUUUGUAUUGUGAUCAAGGUCAACAGCAAGGAAGAAAUUUACAUGAGUGCAUCAUAAAUGAAGCUAGCUUGAAACCAUGAGGGGCCAGCUGAGGGCAAAGCUGCCACAUAGAAGAUGGCAGAGCAGAAGGAUGGAAAGAACUGGAACUUUUGAUGACCCUGUGGAGCCUCUGAAGCAACCAAGGCUGCUGUGACUACUGCUUUUCUGGGUAUUGGUGAAGGAGGGGUGAGUGGGACACACCAAGUCCCUGCUCUCAGCAAGUUUCUAGAACAGCAAGAAGACAGAAGGAACAUAUGAUGUGAAUUUUAAAUGACCAAGAUCGGCGCAUAAAACACGUAAGCAUGAUAGAACACUAUGAUUUUGAAGUCAUAUUCUCCAUUUCUUCAGGAGCACAGCAGGUAAGAGAAAAUUUUCUUUUGAUCUCUCUCCUUCCCCACCCCCCCCUUAUUCUGUUGACCUUGUGACUCUACCAUCAAAGCUAAGUAUUGGUCUCAACUGUAACUACUUACUGGCAUCAUGGGGUACUUCACAGUGCACUUUAAUGUGAUGUUAAAAUUUUAAUAUGAGGUAGAAAUGAGAGCCAACUUUUCUUGCCAAUGUCAGUAAGCUAAAGAAUUAAUUGCAACAUCAGGGGGAAAGAUAAAAAGAAAACACCCCAGGCUUACCAAUAUUACUGAGUCACCAUUUUUGCUGACAGAAGUGGGUAUUGGUUCCUGUCAACCCUUUAGAAUGAGCACCUCAAAGUAUUAUUUUAUUCUCCAGGCUUUGACUUUAUUGAAUUAAUAGCAUAAAAUGAAUCCCUCCUUUCCCUUCACCUCCCAUAUUCCAGUGAUUAAAACACAAAACCAUGUUUCCUUAGGACCUAGGUGAAUCUUAAGUGCUAUAAAUACGACCUCUAAACACAAGGGAGAUUAUUCAAUAAUGACACUAGUUGCUCUUGGCUUUGGCUGGGGCACCUGGAGCCUCCAUGGCUCUGGUUAGCAAUUCUCUUGGUCUCUGCAGAAACCACUCAUAUUAUGCCUUGAAUUCUAAUCCCUUUAUUAAUGUCAUAAAAAAUUAAAAUGAGGAUAAAUGUCCUGUUAAGGGCUACAGUUUAAGGAGAAGGCAGGCAAUCCAGACUGGGACCAUUUGAAGGGGACACUGGUUGUAAUCAUAACUGAGAAGUAUAUUGACAUAAUGGAAAGAGCAAGUCGUUGGGGUCAGAGUCCUGGCCUCUCUGCUUAACAGCUGUUUGCCUCUGAGUGAGUCAUCUAACUUCCCUGAGCCCCAAUUUUCCUGAGGGUAAAACAGAGAUAGUCCCUCCUACUUUGUGAGAUUGUUUAUAUAUUGAGAUAAUAUGUGUAAAAUCAUUAGCAUAAUUCUUUGAAUAUACUAGUUACUCAAAAAUUGGAAGCUAUUAAUAAACUCUCACUUUAAAAUAUUCAAAAUAUUCUUUUCAAUAGACUUGAGAGGGCCCCUAUGUACCAUUGUUCAGGGCAUCUUAAUGUACUGAUCAUAUGCUGUACAACUUUGGAGGCAUAGUGCGUGUCAAGUCCAGAAUCUCAUUCCCAUUUUGCAAAUGUAGUAAAUAAACUUUUAAGGGAGUAAAAGAAAUGCCCCAAAUUGCAUAAGUAGUAAGUGGCAGAACUAGAUCUUAAACUUCAGCCAUCUAUUUUCAAAACCAUUGUUCUAUUUACUAUUUACCCAUGAAUCCAAAGGUAUUUAAUUCCUUGAAGGCAUUGCUCUGGGAACUGGAGACACAGCAGUGAAAAAAACUGUCAUAAAUAAAUAAUAACCCCCAUGGAGCUUUCAUUUUAGUAGCAGGACGUAGAUGGCAAGUGAAAAAAAAUAUAUAUAUAUUACAUCAGAAAAUGAAAAGAAUUUUGGAAAACAGUAAAAUAGGGAAUGGGGUAGAGUGUGCUGGGGAAAAAGGAGGGCACCUUUGUCGAUGAGAUGGCAUUUGAGCAAGAAGGAAGGAUGUAAGGUGGAGGUGGGGGGCAGCAGGUUGACCUCUGGAAUCUGAGAAAAGAACAUUCUAGGGAGUGGAAAUAGCCAGUGCAAAGGCCCUAUGUUUGGGUAAGAGUAAAAAGUCCAGUGUAGCUGGAGCACGCUCAGCAAGGGGAACCCCAAAGAGAUGAAGUCAGGUGAGGGCGUGUGUGCAAUGACAGAGGCAGAACAGCCAGGUUAUAUUGGGCCUUGUCUGCUGUCCUAGAGACUGGCUUUUAUUCAGAGUGAAACAGAAGCCACUGAAAUGUGUUGAACAAAAGCAUGAGGUUCUGACUCAGUUUCUGAUAGGUCGUUUUUGCUGCUUGAUUGUGAACAGUGUGUGAAGCAGGAAUAGGAGCACAAGGGUGCUUAGGAGGCUUCUGUUACUGUAGUCGAGGCAGGAGGGGAUGAAGGCUCAGGGGUGGUCAUGCGGGUAGAGAGAAACAGAAUCUGGAAUAUAUUCUGAAGGUAGAACCAACAUGUUUAUUAUUAAAAGAUUGGAAUGUGGGGUAUGAGAAAAAGGGGAAAGUCAAAACGACACCAAAGUUCUUGGUCUGAACAACUAGACGGGCAGAUUUGCCAUUUACUGAGGUGUCAAAAAUUUAGAUGGGGCACGUGGGUGGCUCAGUAGGUUAAAUGUUCAACUUCAGUUUAGGUCAUGAUCUCACAGUCUGUGGGUUCAAGCUCCAUGUUGGGCUCUGUGCUGACAGCUCAGAGCCUAGAUUCUGCUUCUGAUUCUGUGUCUCCCUCUUUCUAUGCCCCUAUCCCACCCCUGUCUCUCAAAAAUAAAUAAGCAUUAAAUUUUUUUUUAAUUUAGAAAAGCAGAUUUUGAGGAUAAAUUAGCGAUUUGGCAUCAAAAGAAAAUAUAAGCACUAAGACUAUUUCUCAGAAGAAUUCAAAGACCACUAUAACCUUCUGAAAAAGCUAUAAAAUUCUCUAAUAUAAUAAUCACUUAUUUUCUAAUAAAGAUACUGAUGUAAUAAUCUUUCCCAUAAAUCACAUGUGACCUUAAUUUAAUAACCAAAUAUUUCUUUUGCUGAAAAGUUUCAGAUUUUCAGGCAUUUCAAAGAUCAUUUGAUGAAAUUCAUCACACUGAAUGUCUUAUAAUGUUAUUUAUUUUAAUAAAAAAUCAUGUAUAUUUAAAAUACAGGCAGAAUACAAAAGUAUAGCCAUGUGAAAUGAAGACUAAAUCAAACAAUAAAUACACGUAAUGAUCCUUCUAAAUUGUUGAGUGCUAUCCAGUUAUGGAUAGGCAAGUUAUUUUAUUUCAUAGAAGAAAAAAAAUGAGGCUAUAUCUGUAACUCCCUUACCAUUUCGUAAGUAACCAUAGAAGCUUGAAAUAUUCGAAAUCUCAUUCCCGGGAAUUCUUGCCUUGUUGUGCACAGAUUCCAUUUUGAAAGACCUGUGGGGGAAAAAACAAAGGAUAUUAUUAAAAAUGUAUGAAAAGUAUUUUAGAAAUCAAUUGAAGACUGCUUCAAAAAAUUCAGGAACUGAACACAGAUUAUUUUUAGCAAUGUUGUCCACAUUACUGUCUUUGGUAAAUCUUUAUUUCCCCACUUUGUUCCUACCCGGGACCUUAAUCCCUGUUGAAUUGUGAACCUUAGUUUAUACCAGAAUUAUCUUGUGACUCACUUUUGUAGGAGUCCCACUAUGUUAAGUCCUGUAAUUUGUGGCUAAUGCAAUGAAUUUUUCAAUCCUAAAAUGUUGAUAUCUGCCAAAGAGUUCUCCCCAGGUACAAUAAGGACCUGAUGGAGGCAGACUUUACACUAGUGCCAGUGAUUUAAUCAUAGGAACUUUGAGAUACUCUUCAGGAAUACUCUUAUAGGCAGAUGGCUUUUUCCUUAAAAUGCAUUUACGUCAUGUACCCAGUUAAGUACACCAGGAUUUUCUCAACCUUCACAACCACAGUGAAAUGUUAGCGAAACGGCCAAGUCUGUUGGAAGGAUUUGGUGUGACAAAUCCAAUACACGUUAUUUUGAUUUCCUAAAAAAUGACAUACAGUCCCUGACAGCAGAUCAAAGUUGAAGUGACUAUUUUACGGAGGCAGUCUCUAAUCCUGACACCUCUACUCAAUGAUUUUUUUCUUAAUGAAGAAUUUUGUAAAGAAUGAACUAAUGUAUGACAACAAUUUUAAGGCCAUUUAGUGGAAAGCAUGCUGAAAGCCCUUAAUCUCCCUUUAGGACACCAGACACAUCCUCUACAUUCUGUACUUCUUAUCAGGAGCAAACUCAGAAUGAAAACUUCCAGCAAACAGUAACUCAUCAACUUAGUGGGGUCAUGAUUAGGCAAAUAUAAUUUGUUAGCAGCCUAGUUUUUUAAGAAUUUGAAGAAAUCUUAGUAGUCACCUAUCCCAUCCACUUCAUAUCCUACAUGAGGAAAGCCAGGCCCAGAGGGGCUAAGUGACUUGUCCAAAGCGACAUGGCUAGUUAAACAACAAAACCAGGAUUUAUUCCCAGGUUUUCUGGCUUCAGGCUGACGGGAUUUUUGUUAACCAUAUUUAAGUGCUUUGUAAUUUUCUUAGUACUAGAAGGGAAAAUAAAAGAAGCCUAUUUGAAAUUUAAAUGUGUGUGUGUAUAUAUAACAUAUUUAUAUUUUAUAUUUAUAAACAGAAAAAAAGAAAAGAGGAAAAUUAAGUAUGCAAAUCACAGAAAUUUACCAGUCUGUUUCCUCCCUCUUAAGGCCACAGAACAGAAAAUGGAAAAUGCUGUAGUAUAGAAUCAUUAUAAUGGAAGGAAGCAUAACACUGAAUCCUAUGUAAUCCACAUAGACUUGCUACCCAACUUGCUAGGUCUACUGAGGACAGAAACUGUGCCUAUUAUAUAGUGCCUGGCACAGAUACAUGUUGAACUGAGCUCCUAUCACAUAACAGAAAUGUCAAGGACCAUUUACCACCAUGUAGUAGGCACUUCAGACAAUGUCUCUUCUGUGAAGGCUUUCUGUUGGUUUCAUCUCACACUAAUUAUUCUCUUUAGUCUGGCCACCAAAAUACUUAUCUAUACUACAAAUAUUUUUCUUCAUUCCUUUGCCCUACUUCAGUGUUUCUAUUUAUUUCAUGUGUAUUAUUUUUAUCAUUUGAAUUAGUUCCUACCCAAAUGAGACAUUUAUUUAUACUUCCUCUGUAGGCUAGUGCUAAGGAUAUAUUCAGUAAGCACCUGAAUUCAAUCCUCUAACAUCAUACAAUGAAAAGCUAUACUAAUUUUAGCAGUGGAAGAAGGUAAACACACAGAGUUAAGUUUAGUAAUUAAUGCGGCUCUGGAAUUAGAAUGGAGCUCUGCUUUGAAUCAGCCUCUAAGGAGGUGAAUUUGUCUUGAAGAUAAAUUCUCAAGACUCAAUGCCCUCAUCUUUACAAGGAGCAAAUUAAUAAUACCUAUAUGCCAGCUUUGCAUAUUAAAUGAAAUCAUGUAAGUGCUUACAUGGUCACUAAUAGAUAAUAAACAUGCAAAAAACAAUAGCUAUUGUUACUAAACUGUACUUUUUGUAAAUGAAUUACUGAUAGCUUCCUCUAGUUUAAUACACUAAAGUAUAAAUUAAAUGGUGGGAUUUCAGGUAUGAAAUUUUAAAACUUUUUCUGAUGAUAUAUGAAAUACAUUAUUAUUGGCAUUUACUUAAAUGUUCUUUGUUCAUAUUUAAUUCACAGCAAGUAAAAUGGAUUUCAACGUGUGUAUGAAUCAAUCUAUCUAUCAUCCACCUUUCUAUCUACCUAUCUAUUAUUUCAUUCAUCAUCCAACACUAUGAUUUUCCUGGCACAUAUUAUGAAAGCAAUAUAUAUUUGUUGAAUGAAUAAAUUUUAAAAUAUAUAGAUUUAUUGCCCAGAUUAUCCUCUAAUCUCAAUGAAUUAAUAGCAAGAUUUUUCUUAAAUGUGUUUUAAGCUAAAGGAGUUGCUGCAUAUUUAGUCUUCACUUAGGAGACUAAAAGAAAGGAGGAUGGAAAGGAGGGCGGGAGGUUAGAGAGAUGAAUGAAUACAGCAAAUAAUGAUAAUUUUUAAUGUCCCAAAUAACAAUAUUCAAAAUCUUUAUGCAUGUCUUACCUGUCAAUUCCACAUGCCAACUCUAAAGGUGUGUUAACUAACUUAUUAACUGCAAAUAGUCUGUUCAAUAAAUAAACUAUAGUGUUUAGGGUGUUUGACUCUUGCGAAGAAUCACAAUUAUUUUCCAGUCCUCUUGGCAUCCCAACUUGGUUUGGAAGAGUGGACGUGUAUUUAUUUGACAAGUCCAAAACUUUUUUGGAAAAUAAAUUUACUUUUGAAUAGUCUUUUUUCAUUUCGGCAUUGCAUAAAUCCCAACCCGGCAGCAUCAAUGAGAAGUGAUCCUCAUUUGAGGCAAGUCCUAAAGAAACAGAACCCUGAAGCUUUAAAAUAUCUAGAUGCUUAAUGCACAGAUUAUCAAAUUCUUUAUCUACUCCCCACGGCAAAAAGCAAGAGAGGAACAAUUUAGCUGUGUCUAUCGUGACGUUGGCAUCCACUUUUCUUGAUGGCUUGGGGUGCAUCUUUUUGGAGUUCUUUAUUUUCUUCUGCCUUUUAAUGCCUUCAUUAUCUCCUAAGGAUUUGGCAGUAUUCUCUCCCUGGGCCUGGUUCUCACUGACAGGCUUGGCUUGUGCCUCUGCUGAGAGAGAACCAGAGGCAGUUUUAUUUCUUUUCAGAGUCAGUGUUUUCUUCUCAACUGUGCUUUUGGCUCUUCUCAGGAUCUCACUACCAUAGAAUGAAUUGGAAGGGUCAACGUCACAGACUGGAGUUGGCAGCAAAAGUUCAACAAGGUUUUCCAGAUCAAAUAGAAGGAUAUGAAAGCCAAUGUCACUCCAUCUUGUCUUCACAGGCAAGACAUUAAAAGGUCCUGAGAAAGGCUUGACAUCAGCAACCUAAAGGAGAUUUAAAAAAAUAUAUGUGUGUCAAAGUUCUUAUUUUUAAGUGAUUUUAUUAAAGUGUCUAUGAUAUUAAAAUGGCAUAAAAAGAAAGUAUUAAGUAGCAGUACAACUAAAGGCAAGUCAUUUGAAUUUUUUUUUGUCUUAGCUCUAAACAUUCCCCUCUAAAUUAAACAUUCUACAUUCUAAUAGUUCAUAAAAAGUUAUUUUUUCUUCCUAAGUCUUUUAUUUUUCCUCUUAAAAAAUGUGAAUUAGGCCUAUGGAGUAAGAUGGCAUCAGAUUUAUGUCCUCUAAUAUAUGAUUUCAUGUUUUCAUAUCAGCAUAGCCAUGAAUAUACAACAGGGAAAAAGUGGGUUUGAAAAUUAAGGAGAAGAAUAGAACAUCUGCAAGAAUUUAGGAAGUCUUGACAAGAAUUUUCUCACCAAAUUUGUUUAAAAUUUUAAAUAUUUGGAAGUAACCUAAAUGUUAACCAAUAUCAUAUAACUAUUUUUUUGUAAGCUUUGCCUAACAAACUUGCAUUUAUUAUUUCUCUGCCUAAAAUGAUUUUGCCCAAAAUAUUGGCAUGGUGGGCUCUCAUACUUCAGUUAUGUUUCUGUUCAUUAAGAGGCCUUCCUCUUAAUGGCCCUCUCCCCUCACACCCAUUAGUCUCCAUCCUCUUCCUUGCUUUUUUUCUUCCUAGUACCUCUGGUUACCUUGUAUAACAUAAAAUAUUACUUGUUUACUGUAUAUUUUCCCCAGUAGCAAUCAGACUGCACCUUUGCAGGAAUUCUGUGCAUUGUUUUGCCCCCAAGGCCUAUAAAAUGAUGCUGCUAUAUAGUUACUAAGGAACUCAGUCAGUAUGUGUUGACUGAAUGAUUAACGUAUGUAUGCAAUGGAAUACCAUUAAAAUAUUUUAAAUGUUUAAAAAUUUUUAUUUUAGAGAGAGAGAGAGAGAGAAAACAAAUGGAGAGAGGGGAAGAGAGAGAGAGAAAGAGAGAGAGAGAGUAUCAAGUAGGCUCUGCACUGAGCAGGGAGCCCAAAGUGGGGCUCCGUCUCACUACUGUGAGAUCAUGACCUGAAAUCAAGAGUCGGAUGCUUAACUGACUGAUCCACCCAAGUGCCUCAACAUUAAAAUAUUUUAAAAUGAUGAUGUAAAACUUUAUUUAUUGAGGAAAAAAUGUGAUGUGUGCUCUGUUAAGCAGAAAAAAUAAUCCUCCUUUUGUAA